UGUUAAUAUAGCUUUAUAGCGCCUUCAAUGUUAAUGAAAUAGAAGAAGUAUUAAUAU
rnacentral:tRNA from 1 species